UUGCCCGUUAACAAGCACGAUGGGAGGCUCGAAGGAGAUGGUCACUGCAACGAUCGCAGGGAACUGCACGUGGCAUACUCAGAUCGACGCAGCAACUUUGACAGAGCAAACUUGGUAGUGCUACAACACCUAGACGAGGUAGAUCCUUUCGUGGCACUGCACAAAGAAAUUAUCGCAAAGAAGUAUCGUGACCGGGGGGUAUGCAGGACGAACGCCGAAGUUACUAGAGAGCACAACUCCACUUUCCUGCAUUGGUUCAAAGAGCAUAUUAUUGCUAAUCCCCCGGAGGAGGGCUCUAAG
rnacentral:rRNA from 1 species